UUCGCAAUGCCCGAAAGGGUGACGAAGCGACGCCGCGUGUGGGAAGAAGGCCUUCGGGUUGUAAACCACUGUCGGGAGUUAGGAAAUGUAAGGGUGCUAAUAGUAUCCUUACUUGACUAAGGCUCCGGAGGAAGCCACGGCUAACUCUGUGCCAGCAGCCGCGGUAAUACAGAGGCGGCAAGCGUUGUUCGGAAUUAUUGGGCGUAAAGAGCACGUAGGCGGCCUUGUAAGUCAGUUGUGAAAGCCUUCUGCUUAACGGAAGAACAGCAGCUGAUACUGCAAGGCUAGAGUGCGGAAGGGGAGAGUGGAACUUCUGGUGAAGCGGUGAAAUGCGUAGAUAUCAGAAGGAACACCGGCGGCGAAGGCGACUCUCUGGUCCGUAACUGACGCUGAGUGUGCGAAAGCUAGGGGAGCAAACGGGAUUAGAUACCCCGGUAGUCCUAGCCGUAAAC
rnacentral:rRNA from 1 species